GUCCGUGUAGCGCAAUGGAUAGAGCGUUGGACUUCUAAUCCAAAAGUCGUGGGUUCGAAUCCCAUCUGGGACA
rnacentral:tRNA from 1 species